GGUGUGAAAACUGGAGUCAAUGCUCCUCUGUAUCUCGUGUGUCGUGUGAUAUAUUUAGAUGUGGGGCUAAAUAAUAAUUUAGUAUUUUUAAUAUCAAAAUUUUUCAAAAUAAGGGAUCUAAGUGACAUUGGCAAAUACCAUGCUAAAAAUCUUAUGUUUUGUGCAGUGUCAAAGACCAUUUCUCUUUGCAGACAGUGUGAGACUUAUUGAAUUUUUGUUGCUCUCUAGUGCUUAGUUUUUACAAGUGACCCACUGGGACUAAAUUCAAAUAUGUAAGAGGACAUAUAUGGCCAACUGAUUUUCAACAAAGAUGCAAGGCCAUUCAAGAGGAGAGGACAGUCUGGCAUCUGCAUACAGAGGAAUGAAGUUGGACUUACCUUAAGUCACAUACAAGAAAUUAGCUCCAAAUGGAAUGGAAGGCAGGAACUCAGAUAAUUACACUCUAGUGUUCAUAGCAUUAUUUGUGCCUAUAGUCAAAAAAUGGAAUCAACCCAAGUGUCCAUCGAUGGAGAAGUAGAUAAACAAAAUAUAGCAUCUGAUACAAAGGAAUAUUAUUCAGCCUCAAAAGGGAAUGGAAUUCUGAUGCACGCUAGAACAUGGAUAAAUCUUGAAAACAUUAUGCUAAGUAAAAUAAGCCAGACACUGAAGGAUAAACAGUAUAGGAGUCCUCUUAUAUGAAUUACCUAGAAUAGACAAAUUCUUAGAGACAGAAAGUAGACACAUUGAAAAUGCACUUAAUGUCACUGAAUUGGACACUUAAAAUUGUUAAAGUUAUAGAUUGUAUUUUAUGUAUAUUUUAUAUAGGUUAUAUUUAUUGUGCAUAUUUUAUGCAUACACAUAUGUAUAUUUAUAUAGAGUAUAUAUUUCAUAUAUGAAAUAUAUUCAUAUAUGUAUUUUAUAUAUAUUACAUUUUAUAUAUUUUAUGCAUAAUAUAUAACAUAUUAUAUAUACACAGAAGGGGAUAAAAUACUUCUGGACAAAGAAAAGGGUAGGUAACAGCUGAAAUGUAAAUCUAAAUAUAGACAUUGGCUAAAACUGUAGGGACUACCACCUUUAACAGACGGUGAACAUCUUUGAAGGGAGAAAAAUUCUUGUUUUAGGUGUAUGCACAAUUAGUGGGAUAUUGGUUAGCUUUGCUAAAUGGUGUCAACUUGGCUUUCCACGAGAGUCUGAUGAUAACAUCUCAAGACAAUGUGACCUUUUGGAGUCUGAGCUGGCAGAUUGGCUCUGUGUGCUUAAUUAUAAAUACAACUAUUAGCACAAUGCCAUCCCAUGAUAUGUGCUCAAUAAAUACCUGUUGAAUGGCACGCCUAACCCUACCAAAAGUCACAAUAGUUUACUUUACCUUUCAGGAUUGUUGAGGAGUUAUGUAUUGCACAUUUCUUCCCAGUCGUAUGUUUUAUAAAAUGGAAAAAUAAUCAAAGGCACUGGAAUAUUCCAUUUUAAAUUGAUAGAAAUUUGGGAACACGAUUGUUUUGGAUUAGGAUGUGCAUCUAAUCCUGCAAUUAGGAUGAGGCUGUUAUUGUGAUCAGCCACUUAACUUUUCUAGGCUGCCCCUCUGAACAGCCACCCAUAUUCGUAUUGAAUUUAUGUCAGGGUCCAUCAAGCAAACAGGAAAAGAAGGGUACAGAAAAAAAAAUUCUUCAGAUUAAUCUGAAUGAAGUUGGAAUAGAAAAAAAUAUAUAGACACUUGCUUAAAUUAUUUUAAAGGUAACUUGUUAUUGAUUACGUUUACAGUAAGAAAAAAAUUUUGAAAAUACAAUAAAGAUGUAUUGAAUACUGACUUUAAAAAAUAUACAUGUAUACAUUUUACAUUCCUUCAGCCUGGAGCGUUUGGCUCCCUCUGUCUUUGUUACUUAUUACUUUUAAAAUUACAAAGGACAAGAUGAAAAGGACUUUACUAUAGCGUUUUUGACUGAGUCUAAAGUAUGUGGUUGUAUAUUUGACAGGGAAGGGCUGCGGAUCUGAAACUUCACAUUAAGGAAUUGGUUUUCCUUUUUACCUGUGUUCAAAAUAUUUGGAAUUAGACAUUCAGUACCACGGAGUGGCUUCAGAAAAACUUUGUUGAUUGAUUCCUUUAAUAGACAUUUGAGGAAAAGUAUAGACCCACUGCUUUACUAGCCCCACAUGUCCUUUCAGAGCUCAGGGUGGAGAGAGAAAGAGAGAGAGAGUGAGAGAGAGAGGAAGAGAGAGAGCAGUAAGCAGACAAUCAUAACACAGUCGACCAAGUGCUGUAGGAAGUCUAAGUGCAGAGGGCUUUGGAAGAACUGUCUUUGGAAGGGAAGGAGAAAGCUUUGCAAAGCAUGUGUGGCAGGUGUUUUGGGGGGAGGGGCAUUCAUCACCUCCUCUUUGCCUACCUCUGACUCCUUGCCAGACAGGCACUGGUUCUGGUCCACUGGCGGUGUGAAUGGGGCCUCUCAGCGUUUCUGUCAGAGAGCUUUCACUCAUCCAUCAGGGCUUGAAAGUAUGGUGGGAACUGCCCAGGUAGUUAAUGCCCCCAAGGGCGACCUCCCACUGGUGGGGGAAUGAAAGCCAAUAGGUAAAUGCUCUGUCUCUCCACUUUUACAAUAACAAUUCUAAGGGGCGCCUGGGUGGCUCAGUUGGUUAGACAUCUGACUUUGGCCCAGCUCAUGAUCUCACAGUUGGUGAGUUUGAGCCUCGCAUCAGGCUCCGCGCUGACUGUGCAGAGCCUGCUUGGGAUUCCCUCUGUCUCUCUCUCUCUUUCUCUCUCUCUGUCCCUGCCAUGCUCUCUCUCUUUCUCAAAAAUAACUAAACUAAACUAAACUAAACUAACAAUUCUGAUAAACAUCCUGUUUCUGGGGGAACAUCCAGCUUCCGGCAAUCUCUUCGCAAACCAAUCAUCUGUGCUCAAGUGCUGGAUUCAGGCUCUGUUUUAGAAGAACCCAAAGGAGGACAGAAGGUGGCAGUUGAGCUGGGAGGAGUCGGUUGAGGGGAGGAGUCGGUUGAGGUUGUGUGUGGGCUCAGGGGGCAAGGUGCCUUCCACGUGGACAGCACUACAGCUGUAAAGUUACCCAGGACCAGGAGUGGUCCUUGGAGGCCUGUAAGAUGAUAGGAUGUGUGGGGAGCAGUGGGAACGUCGGAGUAUGCUGGGCUGAGGGAUCUAGGAAGGUAGAGAGGUCAUAGAUGUCUGUAGGGGUCAAUCAAGAAAAGCCUUAUUAGCAUGAGAAGGAUUCGGGACUCUCGUCAGUGAGGUCAGGUAACAUGCUCGGCCUGGAUGCCAUGUUCAGAGGUUAGAGACAGGAGACAGGGAAUUAGGAGGAUUUUAACAGUCCAGUUGAGAGAGGAUGAAUGAGGGGGCUUCCGGUGUGAAGGGGGAAGACGUGAGAGUGUGGAGAAAUGUGGAAGCGGCAGGCUCGGUGGACUCAGUGGUGACCUGGAGGACUGAAGGAGACCGAAGCCAAAGUUGUCACCCCGUGUUUCGGCUUGGCAGGCCAGGUGGAUGACGAUGCCUCCAUGCGUAGAAACCUAGUCCUCAGUGUGAUUAUAUCAAGAAGCAGCGCCUUUGGGAGGUGAAUAGGUCACGAGGGUAGAGCCCUCAUGAAUGGGACUAGUAGCCUUCCAGAAGAGCCCCCCGAUGGCUCCCUUGCCCCAUUCACCUGUGGGAAAUGCAGCCAGUGGAUGGCCUCUAUGAACCAGAAAUUGGGGUCUCACUGACCCUGAAUCUGCUGGUGCCUUGAUCUCGGUCUUCCCCACCUCCCAAAACAUGAGAAAUCGGUGUCGUUCAACUCACACCAUCUAUAUUAUUUUUGUUACAGCAGCCCAAAUGGACUCAGACACCUCCUUGAUGGGGAGGGUUGGGCUGUCAGGUAAAUUUAGCAAAGUUGUUGAGCGCAGGGCAUGGAGGGAGUUGAAUGCUGUAUGAAGGCGUUUGGCUCUGUAAACCUGCCUUUCCAUGUGGGGGUUCUUACAGAAGAGAAAGAAGGUCAGAGAAUAUGACUUAGAAAUUUAAAACACUAAUCUAUUUGCUAUGGAGAGAGAGAGAGAGUGAAAGAGAGGUAGAGAGAGGGAGAGAGAGAAAGGGAGAAAGAAAGAAAGUGAAGGAGAGGGGGUGGGGAAGAGAGAGAGAGAGAGAGAGAGAGGAUGAAAGAGAGGGAGAGAGACGGAAGCUGAAUAGGGAAGGAGAAAGUCCCAAGUGAGGAUAUGAUUUUAUAUGAAGUCUAGCUUCAGUCUGAUCCAUAAAGUCAUUCUGCCUGAACCCUUUGAAUCCUAUAUUAAUCAGUCAUUGGCCAUCUGGAUGCGGAAGGCUGGGGGCACGCUCCAGUGAGAGUAAAUUUUCUGUGUCCACUUGGUGAAUGUUUUUGGGUGAGGUUAACAUCUAAAUGUGUGAGUUUUGAGUAAAGCAGAUGGCUCUUCAUAAUGUGGGUGGGCCUUGCACAAUCAGUCGAAGGCCUGAAUACAACAAAGAAAUCCAGCCUCCCAAACAAGAGGGAAUCCUCCAGCACAUUGCCUGUGGACUUCAUCUGCACCAUCGUCUCUCUUGGGUCUCCGCCUGCCGGCCUUCGUACUGAAACUGUGCCACCAGCUUUCCUAGCUUCCAGGCUGCUGGCACACUGCAGAGUUAGACUUGCUGGCCUCCAUGAUCGUGUGGACCGAUUCCUUAUGCGAAAUUUCUACAUACACGUUCUCUGUGUUCUCCUUCCCUGGAGAAUAUUGAUUAACCCACCCCCUGCAGGUCUCUGUCUCAGAGGAAGCGGCUCCCGUCUGCCAAAGGCAAGUUUUCUGCAAAGGUCACAGGUAUAAGCAGCAACUGGUGGCUGGAUGCCCCCCCCGCCCGGGCGAGGGGGCCCUGCUGGAGCACCUGUUUGGACAGCCCUUUUAUGGAGUGCUUGGACGAUGAUGUAGGAAUAAGUAGCAAAUCAAAUUUAUUUAGCUGCGAGGUAAGUUUAUGGCCCUUCACAAAUCUCUCCUCCAUACUCUGUCUGCUCUUGCGGACCUCCUUUGAGUAACAUUUAUUAGCGGGGCAGCACAGGAUGGCCCUGUAAGCUUCUCGCGAUCUGAUGUCAAAGAGAGAUAGAUGUCCCAAGGCCAACUCUUGGCUUAUCUUCUGAGCCAUGUGACUGACUUUCUGAGUUUGGCUUCCGCGUCUGUCUGACAAAUAUGGCGGAUAACCUCUGUGUUAUGAAGAUUAAACCGAAAGCUGUGGUGAAAAGCAAAUGAAUGUUACCUGUGACUACUGCACUCCUCUGUGCCAGGCUGUGAGUUAAGCAACUAAAAAAGGUUACCACCUUAAAUUGCCACGAGAGUUCCGUAACCGAGAUAGUAUUCAUCGUAUUUCCUAACAUGGAAACUGAGGUGCAGAAAAAUGAAGACGUGUGCCCAAGGUCACCGGGCCAGGAAGUGAAGGAACUGACAUGGUUCCCAGCAUGUAUCGGGAAGUAGAGCCCUGACAUAGUGUUUAGCUUCCGAGACAUAGGAUUCUAGAAGUGUUGUGACGUGAUUGUCACUCCGGAAGCAGGAGAUCUUGCUCCAAGGGACCUGAGGCUAUAGGCCACUGUAGUGAUGCUCAUGGCCGUUGGGAACGUUGCAGCAAGGGAGGUGAGGGGUGGGCAUGUCAAGGACUCCAGCCAUCUUGAGUCCGACCCAUCCAGUGCUCCUUGUGUAUUCCCACUGCCUCCCGAGCACAGUGGCUUGGGGAGGCGAGGAAAUGGAAUUGAGAGGAAAACGAUACUUGUAAACUCGAUUUUGGUAGGUCAUUUUGUUAUAUUAUCAUUAAGAUGGGAAUCUUUGGCUUGAAAAAGUCAUAAACUGAAAACCUGCUUCAUCUCUGAGUUUUCACAGAUUUCAAGGAUUUGGUCCAAAUCCAGAGCCUCGAGACAAUAAAAACGCUGCUGAAUGGUUACUGAGGAGAAUGGCUGAACUCUCAGUGAGCUACUUCGACGGAGGAACCGAAUCGUUUGUAAUCCAUGAGACUGAAGAAGAGCCAUCUGUGGGUUUCAACCUAAACAGUAGUUGGACUCAGGCCAACCAAAGAUGCCUUUUUGAUGCAGUUUCAAAUGCCUCCAGCAGAUCAAACUGAAAAGUCAUUGAAGAAACAACUUUGUAACAUGGAGGGCAAAGAAUCACCCAAAGAAACAAUUUAGAGGCAAAUGGAGAAUCUUUUCCACAAGUAAUUAAUACCUUUAAAAGCAUGUUUGAAAUAAUUAGUGGAUGAAAUGAUCAGAGCGGAAAACACAUUUUUAUGAAAGAACAAAUUUACAGGUGAAUGUGACCAAUGAAAAUAUUUGAAGUUAAACAAUGAAAAUCAAGUGAUUGAUACAGCUCUUUUUUGGUGAACAGUUUGGAGUUCUGCUGACUGGUUAAAAGGAAUGGCCAUCUACCCCAACUAGUGAGGGAGCGUGUUUUAAUCCACUAAUGUUGCAUAUUGAUCUUGGAAGAUUUGCAAUGUGAUACGUGCGAUAGAUAUUUUUGCAGCUGGUACCAAGUGUAUCCAGUACUAAUAUUUAUUUUAUUAUUCAUUACAUUCUUGUACUUUCCAAUUUUUAGGCAUAAAAUUUGAUAUUUACCCUUGAAAUACUGAAAAAAAAAUCAAUUUUCCUACCCUUUGGAAGUCUAGGAGAACGCUUUCUCUUUUGGUUGCAGUGUGCAUUGGUUUCCUAUUGCUGUUGUAACAAAUUACAGCAAAUAAACCAUGUAAAUUGAUUAUCUUACCAUUCGAAUUCUCACUGAGUUAAAAUCAAGAUGUUGGCAGGACUGUGUCCAUUCUGGAGGCCCUAGGAGAUUGUUUCCUUGUCUUUUCCAGCUUGUAGAGACUAUCCACAGCCCAUGGAUCAUGUCGUCAAAGCCAGCCUUGUUACGUCCCUGUGACCCUUCUUCCAUGGUUCCAUCUCCCUCUGCCUCUCACCUGAGCAGGCAAAGUCUCUGGCUAGGGACUCGUGUGCCGAGGUUGGGCCCAUCCAGAUAAUCCAGGCCAACCUUCCACCUCAAAACCCUAAAUGUCUGCAAAGUCAUUUUUGCAAGGUAAAGUUACAAGUUCACAGGUUCUAAGGAUUUGGAUGCAAACAUCUUUGGGGGAUGAAUAGUCUGCCUAUAUGUGCAGAAAGGUGAGGAAAGUCGACAGCAACAGCAGUUGUUGCCUUUUAUUUUAUUUGGUGCCUCUUUUUGUGCCCUCUACAAAAGUGACCACGUAUGGAUAUAUAGUCAGCACCCAACAAUUAUUUGUUGGGUAACUGAAUGAAAGAUUGAUCGAUUCUCAUCUAUUUUCAUCAGACGGCAUUAUUUAGAGCAUGUAGCUGAAGUGGGAGGGCAUUUCAGGACUGGUCACCACCAGAGACAUGGGAAGGUUUUACAGGGGUUUACUGACAGGUGUAAGCAAAUCCCGGGCUUGGUAUGACGUUUUGUCAGAGGCGUGGGGGUAUAAUCAAACUAAGUGUCAAGUGUUCAGGUAAAGUCACAGUUCACACUCAGAGGUCUGAGUGCAAGCCUUGUACAUCUGUUCCCUGAAGGAAACAGUGAGCAGAAGGUACAUGAUUCUGAGUAUUCCUUCAAUCUGUAAAAUACAGGGAAGGGACCAAACAAAGCUCUGUGCACACAGGGCACCUAGAGUAAUCUGGCGUCAUGGAUGAUUCUUCUUGGCCACGGUGAACAGGGUUGUGAAGUUUCUUGUAUCUCCUGAGGAUUCGUGGUCAUGAACCUUGGGUUUGAGAGUAAGCCAAGCACACACCUGCCUUUGUUCCUACUUUAGAGAUGGAAACCUGAAGGGAAAAGUGUUGGGUUUUGGACCAUCGGACCUGCAUUCAGAUCUUGCAUCACUGGGUGACAUAAUGUAUUUAUAAAAUAUGAUAAUAUCUACCUUAUGAAUCAGGGGAGGGGUUAAAGAUAUCUUUAUAAGGCUUUAGUGCAGGAACAAUAAAGCAGCCACUCCAUAAAUAACAGGUUCUCACUAUUAUUGUUCCUAUAAAACUUCUCACCCAGCUUCUCAUUUUGUCAGUGUUGUGUUUUUUAAAAAUAGUAUUCCUCUCAGAUAAUUAAGGGACUUAGCUAGUUAAGAGUUUAGGUUCUGGAUUUAUUCAUUCAUUUACUUUCAUUUUUUUCACACAUUCCAGCAUUUUCUAUUACUGAUUAUUCACCGUGCAGUGGGCUGUGAAUACGAUAAUGAAGAGAACAGAUGUGGUCUUUUGCCUCAUAGUGCUUUCACUCUAAUGGAAGGGAGAGGCCAUUAAGGAAACAAACAGAUUAAAGUUCAAAUCCUGAUGCUUCAACUUAUCAGGUGUGUGGUCCUGGGCAGUUGACUGAACCUCUCUGAAUCUGUUUCCUGGGGUUAACAGAGCAUAACUUGAAACAUUAAAUUACAUCAUGCAUAGAAAUGUUUAGCAUAGUCCUUGGCACAUAAGAAUUAUUUUUUUUUCAUUUUUAAAAUUAUUAUUUAGUACCUAAAGAAGUCAUGGUACUAUUUUCUUUUGAUAUUUUUUCCGGUUUAUUUAUUUUGAGAGAGAGAGAGAGAGAGAGAGAGAGAGAGAGAGAGAGAGAGAAUCCCAAGCAGGCUCCAUGCUGUCAGCACAGAGCCCGAUGCAGGGCUCGAACCCAUGAACUGUGAGAUCAAGACCUGAGCUGAAACCAAGAGUGGGACACUUAACUGACUGAGCUACCCAGGUGCCUUGAUGUGGUCCUAUUUUUGAUGAAGAAGUUAUACCUUUUAUAGGGAAAGCACCAAAUAGCAUAUAAACUUUUAAAAAAGUGCAGCUGUGUUCUAAUCUUCCCUCCCUGAUUCCUUAAGCUCAGUAUUUUAGGGAAUAGUACUAAUAUGAUGGCUCUUUUUUUUUUAUAAAUUUUAUUAAAAUUUUUUUUUACAUUUCUUUAUUUUUGGGAGACAGAGAGAGACAGAGCAUGAGCCGGGAAAGGGCAGAGAGAGAAGGAGACACAGAAUCCAAAGCAGGCUCCAGGCUCUGAGCUGUCAGCACAGAGCCCGAUGCGGGGCUUGAACCCACAAACCACGAGAUCACGACCUGUGCCGGAGUCGGCCGCUCAACCGACUGAGCCACCCAGGCGCCCCUAAUAUGAUUGCUCUUAUACCUACAUGUAUUCCUAUUACUGUUCUUCCUACUCACACUUUACUAGGGUUUUGCUCUGUGUCCGUCACUAUUCUAAUCCCAGUGCCUGCGUUGCGAUACUUCAUCCGCAUCACAGCCUGUAGGAUGGAUCAGGGGCUGUUACAGAGCGCAUUUCACCACUGGGAGAAUGGAGGCAAGAGGGUGAAACCCUAGGUCUACAUCAAGGGUGUGACGGGCCAGAACUCUAACCCAGGUGUUAUGACUCUGGGUCCAACACACCUCACAAGGACGCAGGAUUUGGGAUAACUUUCCAGGGAGGCCAAUUUCAUGGUGGAGGAUGAUGUGACACUAGAAGAGGAAUAUAGCCCUGAGAUUUUCACACUGCUGCUCGAAGAGAAAAGAUAUAGGACUCAUUUGCUCAUAUGUUCCUUAUUUGAUCAGGCUCUGAAUGCCUACCCAGUGCUGGGUGCUGUUCAAGGAGAUGAAAUCUGUGCCCUCAGGGAGCACUCAGUCCAUUGUGGGGCAGGUAGUGACUAGGAACAGGUUGUGAAAAUAGAGUGUGCUGCCUCAUCCAACAGGUCUGGGUAUGUGGUCCUCAGGGAAGUUGAGGACAUCUCAUCUAGCCUUGGGUGGCCAGGAGAGGUCUCCUAGAGGAAAUAAGUUGUGGGGAAAAUUCAAGAUUUGCUUCCUAGAACCUUAGAAAAUUAUUUACUAAGAUAUGCAGAUGAACGUAUAUCGUAAUAGUUGAACAUACGGGCUUUGGAGUUAAAACUGCCUGCUUUCAAACUCUAUGUCUGCCAUUUUCUGAUGUUUAGACCUUUUCCUCAUUAAGCGGUUGGAGCCCGCAUCUGAAAAAUGGGAACAAUGAAAAAAAAGUACCUCUUUUUCUUUGAAUGGUAGUGAAGAUUAUAUCUAAAACUGUUGGCGCAAAGCCUGGUAUGUGGUAAAUGUUCAUUUAUUAUCAUUGCCCUUGUCAUUGGCAUCAUCAUUAUCAUUAUCAGUGUUUUUUUUAAGAAAUAUGAAAUGGCAUGAUAGGUAACAAGGGGAUUAUUUUGGUUGUUGUUGCUGAAUUAUUAAGAAACAUAGUACGUUGGCCCUAAUUUUGGGGCUGGAAAAAUUUCAGACAAGUUACAAGUCCCUGUGAUCUUAUACAAAUAUAUAUUACUGGAAUUGAUGUGUGCAAAGAGCACAGUUUGUUUUUACCCUAGUUGAAAAUGUGCAAUGACAUAAUGUUACCCUUUAAGAUAACAGAAGCCAGCUGCCCCAUUCAUAUUUAAAUAUGAGUCACCUUCCAGGGAGACUUGCAAGAUUCCAUGUGCCAAGCUGGAAAAGUAAAACUUGCUAGCAAGGCAGGAAAGAAUAAAUUCACACUUGGAAGUUGGUAUUAUAGGCUAGAGGCCCCAUCUAGCCAAUUCCUUUAUGGAGCAGAAAAUAGCACCCUAGUGGCCAGAGAGAAGAACUGUAACACCAUGGCAUCAUGGUCCAUGUUUUGGAAGCAUGGAACCUUCCUCACCUUUGGGGAAUCGUUUCCACUUAAUUAAAAAUAUUUUGUGUAAGUGGUACACAUGCCCAGGCACAAACAGAGUCUGCUGUAAUGCCUUUUAAAAAACAGAGUGUAGUUAUUUUUUAAUUUAUCCCUAAUUUACCUUGGGAUUGAGUUGGCCGACCACUUUCAAUGUCUUCCAUUUCAGCAGAGCACAUCUCAGAAGCAAAGUAAAGACCAACUUCUUGACUAUUGGUCCAACGAAAGGAAGGCCUGAAAUGUCAAAUAAUGUGGGUCUUCAUAAGUGUUUGCUGAGAACCUAUCAGAAAGGGGAAGCCUGUGUGUGGUACUUGGGAACAACAUUGAAAAAUUAAUUAUGUAUGUAAAUUGAAUUGACACAUUGACGACUGGAUGAGGUUAGAAGGCUGGUUUGAGGGAACAAUCGGCUGCUAAUUAGGGUUCCCCUCACGAUCGAAUCAGAUUUGCUAUGGGUCUGUCUCUGUAAACUUUUACCUGCAUGAGAAUUCAGUGGUCAGUAAUAAAAUGAGAUUGAAUCAAAGCUGGGAAGUCAGUUCAGUUUAAGUAGCUUUGGAUAAACUGUUGUGUCUUGUUGCACAGAGUAGACUACAUCACUGGCAACAGUCACGCUCACCCAGAAUGGCAGCAGACGCCCUUUUCAGGAAUAAACUUGUUAAAGAAGGUAAAACAGCAAGUAUAAAGGGGAACUUGAAUUUUGCCUUUCUGUCACAUCUUUUGGAGGACAACGCAGCUAUUUGAAUUCUGAACUUCUGUUCAAAUUCUACCACGUUAACAACAUAAGUCAAAAUGCACGUAAGGAUGUAACAGUGAAGAUGUUCCGAGUAGCGUUGUUUACUUUAAUUCAAACUGAACAUAAUAUAAAUAUUUACAGCAAGCAAUUAAGUAAAUGAUAAACACCCGUACAAUCAUACAUUCUUGUGCUAUUAAAGGAGCUGUUUAGAGUCAUGUAUAUGGACAUAUAAAGAUGGGUACUACAGAUUACUAAAUGAAAAAUAAGGCAGUAGGUCUGAUCUUGAUUAUCAUAAUGAUCCCAUUUAAGUGGUAUAUUUUUGUACACUAUUCUUUAGAUGAAAAAAAUUUAUGGGUUGUCUCUCCUAUUUGACCUCUUUCCAUUUCCAUUAAAUUAAUUAUUAAAUUGCUUUUGGUGGAGUUUUAAUGUUUGUUUUCUUAGCUCUGUAAAAGAUAACAUUUACUCUUCUUAAAGAAAGUUAAAAUAUAUGACCCAUUAUUUUCUCAACUCUGUAACUAGUUAUUUAUAAGAAAAGCAAAAAAACAAAAAUUCUUGCCCACAAGAAUAUUCCUACUUUAACGAUGUCCCCGUAAUAAGCUGAAUCUCUUAUGUGUUCUUGAUGGCCAAUCUAGUAUCAGUGGGACUCCAUUAGAGAGUCAAUAUAUAUAUUUUGUAGGAGUAAAUGACAAAGAGGCACCCCUAAUCUGCUUGAGUAAAAGCCAUCUCACCUCCUCUCUCUG